GAUCAAGGCCUAAUGUCGCCACUCAAAAGACCUUCAUCCCGGCUACAUGGCGCAUUACUGUCCGCAUUGGAGCUGCGAGCUUACAGAUGCACAUUCAGGUGGAGCCAAUGAGCUACCUGAAUUUGAAAGCCGUACAUGGGAGGGCCCACUUGUCCGAUGAUAGCACAAAAUCACGGCGACUCAUUUAUGCUUAGGCCACGUUCCCGACCGUGACGCUACCGAAAAACGAAGGACGCAAGAGGAGCUCGCUGGGUCCCUGCGCCAUACGCUUAACUGAAAACUAAAACCUAUACUUGCAUUGCCAUUCCCCCAUCUGUAUGUUGGACAAUCCCUAGAAUGCCCGACGCGGAAAGGCCCCCACCAUCAGCCCACGGCUUCCGCACCAGUGGGCGUCAUCUCAUCAGCUGCGUCCGAGGGCUAUUCGUAAUACCUUAACAGUAGCAGCCGCCAUGCCAGGGCUGCUCUCUAUACGUGCAUGCUAUGCAAUCCUGCUAUCUAGUCAUCUUCCUCCUCAGCCUCCUCGAGCCACUUCAUGAAGGGCUCGAUAUCCUUCAGAAACACGGCGCGGCCCUUGGCGUGGCUGCCCUUCUUGUGCCAGUGCUGAAUAGUGUCCUCGCCAACAAUCUCCGCGUUGUACAAAAGCUUAACAAUGUCGGUAAAGCAUUUCAGCAUGCGAGUGUCCUCAUAACAGAAGACCUGGUACGGGUUAUGCGAAGGGGAUUACAUUUUGGUUGCAUGCUGUCUGCUGAUGACCGAACUGUACGUGCUAGUGGCAAGUAGGUUCAAGUAAUCGACGCACAUGCCCAUGGAGCAUAUCGCUAAAAGCAAUUAUGAACCCAACCCUCUGCUAACCUGGAUGGUGUUAAUAAGCGCCAACUCCGCCUUGGCGUUGGUCGCGAAAGCCGAAAACAGCUUGCCGUAAGUCUUAAGCUUCUGCAUCACCGACUGCGUGAUCUGCUGCUGGUUCUUGCCCGUCAGGUUGAUUGACUUCAUGAGCGCCAGCCAGCUCACCCGCAGGACCUCGGCGUCCGGAAGGUUGUUCUCACCUCUCUUGUUCUUUGCAAUCGUGAGCACCUCCGCCACCGCGAUAGGAGGGUCUGCAGUGAUGGCCUCCGUUAGAGCCUCCUGCAGCUCCGUGACCCGUAGGUCGAUUUCACGCUGCACAUCCCAGUCCACCAAAGCGCCCAAACCCGCGCCCUGUAUGCGGCACAGAUCGCAAGGCGUGGAUUAAAGCCGGACUUUCCGGCUACUGUCUGAGCCCAGAGGCAGUCCAGGGAAUGAUAGCAGCGCAGACAGCUACCAUGAACAUCCCGUAAAAUAACAGCACCAGAGCACAAAUUGAAAUGGCAUGACACUUUUGCGGAAACAGUUUCGCGCGAAACAGGUGGGGCCAAGACGAAGGAGGCACAACUGUACCGUCGGACGGGUUUGACAAGCUCACCCGUAGCAGCUGAUGAAAGUCGGCUUGUGCACGCUUGUUGGGCGGCGCAAAGUCCACCAGGCGAUUGGCAAUGUUGGCCUUCGAUAGGAUUGACACCAGGUCAUC
rnacentral:lncRNA from 1 species